GCGUGCGACAAAUGGCGGACAAAACAAAGUAAGCGACGAGGUGCAAGAAAUGGAGUCCCCAGCUGUGUGGAGCUUGAGGUGAACAUGGCCAAAAUUUGUGGGGAAAGCAUUGUAAGGCAAGAUCCAACCAGAGGCUUCGGUAUGAGGUUGGCAAGUGCCCCGGUUUACCCACAAGUACUGUUGGAGAAUGAUGUUGGUCCUCUUCCCUUGCCUGUUGAACCCCCUACAUAUAUUCAUUGCAUUACAA